rnacentral:rRNA from 1 species
UACCAGCUCUCCGAGUGGUGUGGAUGUUUAUUGGGCCUAAAGCAUCCGUAGCUGGCUGGGCAAGUCCCCUGUUAAAUCCACCGAUUUAAUCGUUGGUGUGCGGGGGAUACUGUUCGGCUAGGGGACGGGAGAGGCCGACGGUAUUUCCGGGGUAGGGGUGAAAUCCUAUAAUCCCGGGAAGACCACCAGUGGCGAAGGCUGUCGGCUAGAACGCGCCCGACGGUGAGGGAUGAAAGCUGGGGGAGCGAACCGGAUUAGAUACCCGGGUAGUCCCAGCUGUAAACGAUGCAGGCUAGGUGUUUGGGCGGCCACGUGCCGCUCUAGUGCCGCAAGGAAGCUGUUAAGCCUGCCGCCUGGGGAGUACGGCCGCAAGGCUGAAACUUAAAGGAAUUGGCGGGGGAGCACCACAAGGGGUGAAGCUUGCGGUUU